GAUGAAGAACGUAGCGAAAUGCGAUAAGUAAUGCGAUUGCAGAAUUCCGUGAGUCAUCGAAUCUUUGAACGCACAUUGCGCCCUCUGGUAUUCCGGAGGGCAUGCCUGUCUGAGCGUCAUUGUCAACCCUCAAGCUCAGCUUGCUGUUGGGUCCCCGUCGUUGCUUUAACGGCGGACCCGAAGGGUAAUGGCAGAGUCCGUGAGACCCUAGACGCAGCGAGCUUCUAGCACGCGUCUGGACGUUUUUCGGGCUCGGUCUUAACUAGAUGAUAACUUCCGAUUGACCUCAGAUCAGGUAGGGAUACCCGCUGAACUUAAGCAUAUCAAUAAGCGGAGGA
rnacentral:misc_RNA from 1 species